rnacentral:rRNA from 1 species
GAUGAACGCUGGCGGCGUGCCUAAUACAUGCAAGUCGAGCGAACGGACGAGAAGCUUGCUUCUCUGAUGUUAGCGGCGGACGGGUGAGUAACACGUGGAUAACCUACCUAUAAGACUGGGAUAACUUCGGGAAACCGGAGCUAAUACCGGAUGAUAUUUUGAACCGCAUGGUUCAAAAGUGAAAGACGGUCUUGCUGUCACUUAUAGAUGGAUCCGCGCUGCAUUAGCUAGUUGGUAAGGUAACGGCUUACCAAGGCAACGAUGCAUAGCCGACCUGAGAGGGUGAUCGGCCACACUGGAACUGAGACACGGUCCGGACUCCUACGGGAGGCAGCAGUAGGGAAUCUUCCGCAAUGGGCGAAAGCCUGACGGAGCAACGCCGCGUGAGUGAUGAAGGUCUUCGGAUCGUAAAACUCUGUUAUUAGGGAAGAACAUAUGUGUAAGUAACUGUGCACAUCUUGACGGUACCUAAUCAGAAAGCCACGGCUAACUACGUG